ACUCCUACGGGAGGCAGCAGUGGGAAUAUUGGACAAUGGGGCACCCGUAGCAUCCAGCCAUGCCGCGUGAGUGAAGAAGGCCCUAGGGUCGUAAAGCUCUUUCAACUGUGAAGAUAAUGACGGUAGCAGUAGAAGAAACCCGCCAGCUACCCGUGCCAGCAGCCGCGGUAAUACGGAGGGGGUUAGCGUUGUUCGGAAUUACUGGGCGUAAAGCGCACGUAGGCGGACUAUUAAGUUAGAGGUGAAAUCCCA
rnacentral:rRNA from 1 species